rnacentral:rRNA from 1 species
CAGUCGCCGCGGGAAUACGUAGGUGGCAAGCGUUGUCCGGAAUUAUUGGGCGUAAAGGGCUCGCAGGCGGUUUCUUAAGUCUGAUGUGAAAGCCCCCGGCUCAACCGGGGAGGGUCAUUGGAAACUGGGAAACUUGAGUGCAGAAGGGGAGAGUGGAAUUCCACGUGUAGCGGUGAAAUGCGUAGAGAUGUGGAGGAACACCGGUGGCGAAAGCGGCUCUCUGGCUUGUAACUGACGCUGAGGCUCGAAAGCGUGGGGAGCAAACAGGAUUAGAUACCCGCGUAGUCCCUGUCUCUUAUAC